GCGAGGGAUUUUCGGCAAUGGGCGCAAGCCUGACCGAGCAACGCCGCGUGCGGGACGACGCCCUUCGGGGUGUAAACCGCUUUUCCCAGGGGCGAAGAUGACGGUACCUGGGGAAUCAGCCUCGGCUCACUACGUGCCAGCAGCCGCGGUAAGACGUAGGAGGCGAGCGUUGUCCGGAGUUACUGGGCGUACAGCGCGCGCAGGCGGUCGUUUGCGCCCGGGGUGAAAGGCGUCGGCUCAACCGGCGAGCGGCCUCGGGGACGGGACGACUGGAGGACGGGAGAGGUCGGUGGAAUUCCCGGUGUAGUGGUGAAAUGCGUAGAGCUCGGGAGGAACACCCGCGGCGAAGGCGGCCGACUGGACCGGACCUGACGCUGAGGCGCGAAGGCGCGGGGAGCGAACGGGAUUAGAAACCCGGGUAGUCC
rnacentral:rRNA from 1 species